AGUGAACGCUGGCGGCGUGCUUAACACAUGCAAGUCGAACGAGAAACGGAUUUAGCUUGCUAAAUUGCAGUCUAAGUGGCGCACGGGUGAGUAAUGUAUAGGUAAUAUGCCUCUUACUAAGGGAUAACAAUUGGAAACGAUUGCUAAUACCUUAUAUGCCUUUAAGACUAAAGUCUGCAAGGGAAAGAUUUAUUGGUAAGAGAUUAGCCUGUAUUGUAUCAGCUAGUUGGUGAGGUAAUGGCUCACCAAGGCUAUGACGCAUAACUGGUUUGAGAGGAUGAUCAGUCACACUGGAACUGAGACACGGUCCAGACUCCUACGGGAGGCAGCAGUGGGGAAUAUUGCACAAUGGACGAAAGUCUGAUGCAGCAACGCCGCGUGGAGGAUGACACAUUUCGGUGCGUAAACUCCUUUUAUAUAGGAAGAUAAUGACGGUACUAUAUGAAUAAGCACCGGCUAACUCCGUGCCAGCCGCCGCGGUAA
rnacentral:rRNA from 1 species